UUGGCUUUCGUCGGAAAUUGGUCGGAAAAUCGUCAAAUUUGUCCGACGACAUUUUGGUCCGUCGGAACCUCCGUCGGAAUUCAGCGUGUUUUCUUGUAGUGUGUGUCUAUUCGGUUCACCAAACAUACUGUCUUCGUUGAGGUCACUGAAACCAAUGAGCCGAUCCGGAGGAAGAGAUUCAGUUAUGCAAGUUCGACCGGCUUUUCGCACUUGCCAACACGAACUCUGAGUUGCCAGUUAUCGUUGGCGAAGUCUGGGAAAUUAGAACAGUUUACAACAACAAAGAGACCCAUAGUACUCAACGCCUUAUGGCAACUAUAAGGCUUCAUAGGACGCCUGCCCAUUUUUAUUUUGAUCAUGACUUUGGAGCCAGCAGCAGUUACCUUAAAAAGGUUUGUAGCAACAACGAAGGCUCCUCCUCCGCUCCUACAAAGUAUGUUUUUUUCUGUUUACGAGAUUUUUGGGAACUAUGCACUUUAUGGUUACUACAAGCUUCUCCUUUAUUUCACUACUCUGUACUUUAGUUAAUUCUUAUGAUGAAGUAACCCAAAAUCAUAAACCAGAUUAUUUUUAUUUAUUUUUUUGGUCAAAAUAAACUAGAUUAAUAUGAAACACAUUUGUCAAACUCUUUAAGCAUUAAAAGCUGUUAAUUUCAUCUUAAAGUUCAGUGUCCCAAAUAUUUUUUGGAGAAAGACCUAGGAAAAAACAAACGGAGUGCAAGAAAUCACAAGAUUCAUAUCGGCAUCUAAAUAUCAGAAAAUAUUUUUAACUAAGUGGAAUUGUAGGGUGUACGUUAUAACGGUGCAGAAUUGUUAGUGUUUUAUAUAUUCAAAUUAUAAUAGCUAAUAAUAAUACACAAACUUUAUUGAUCCACUAAUUACUCUCCAAUAAUUAGAAAAACCGUUACAGAAGCAAAUACCAAGUGAACCAUAUAGGUCCUCAAAAACUCAUCUCACCAUUCUGUUGUCUUUUUUGAAAGGCUACCUAUUUUCCUUAAAAUAUGUAUUGAAUUAAUCCUCCCCAAGAGCUCUGCUUUUAAAAAAAGACCAAAAAAAAAAAUCAAUGGUGAAGAGAGCAUCUAUUUGUUACGGAGAUCAAAUCAACAACUUCAUUGUUUAAUAUAAUGGUAAUGAACUCAAAAUCAAACUACGAGGUAACUAACCACUGCCUCCUACUUUCUUCCAAAUACCCUUCAACAACUUCAUUCUUUGUAGUUUACACAGGUUGUGAUGUUGGACACCCAUGAUUGAACGGGAGAGCUAAACCGGACCAACUCGACUAGCGGAACAAUAC